CAUUGCCUCCUAGGGACCAAGCAUUGGGUUCAGGGGUUUAUAUACACAAGCUCAUUUACUCUUCACAGUGACUCUAGGAGGUGGGUGCUUCUGUACCUGCCUUUGACAGUUAAGGAAACUGAGGCUCAGAGAAGUAAGAGAGCUGGGAUCCACAUUUAGGUCUGUCUCACAGCAAAGCCAGCACUUCUGAGUGUCCUGCUAGAUGACUUAGGUCUGUAUCUAAAUCACAAACCCUCCAUUUCUCAAGCCUCAGAGUCCUAUUCCGCCCACACUUCAAAUGAUUCCAGGAACUCUGCAUCCUAAGAGCCUAUAUAUGCCUGGAGGUAUAGUAUGACAGCGGGAAAAACAUUUUCAGCCCAUUGGAAAGGCUGAAAUGCAGAGGCCCCAGGGGACACUCAGUGGUGGAGAUCAUGACUUCAAGCCCUGUCUCUGCGUUCUACCAGCAACAGCCGAGAAUGGGCGUAUCAUCCCCCUAAGCCUCAGUUUCAUCAUCAGCAAACAGGGAGAGUAAGAAUCCCAAUGGCAUAGGCUUGCCAACUGAGGAUUGAAUGAGGUCAUCUAUGUACGGGAAAUUCCUCGCCUCUGGACCGCACCCGCCCUUGAACACCUCCCGGUCUCUUUGGGCAGAGCGCAAGCCAGACAGAGCUGGGGACAGUGAAGUGGCCAUCCUCAGCCCUGUGUGUGCCAGGAGCCCCCCUCCCGGGGGGUGGGGGGCGGGUGGCCCCGCUGCAGGAGGGCAGGGGCGGCAGAGGGAGCCUGGCGUGGGCGGCUGGGACAGAGUCCUUUUUGAAGGAGGUGGGGACCCCGUGAAGUACGUGACUUCUGACCCUUCAGCCUGCACGCUCCAGUUAGCAGGACAGAGACCCCUCCCCAUGCAUCCCCAGCCUUCCCGGGCUUUCUGCCCUGCGGGGAGGCCCUGUCACCCCGCCCCCCACAACACCCCCCC
ensembl:lncRNA